GAUGAAGAACGUAGCGAAAUGCGAUAAGUAAUGUGAAUUGCAGAAUUCCGUGAAUCAUCGAAUCUUUGAACGCACAUUGCGCCCGCCAGUAUUCUGGCGGGCAUGCCUGUUCGAGCGUCAUUUCAACCCUCAAGCCCCCGGGCUUGGUGUUGGGGCUCGGCCCGUCCCUAGCGGAUGCGCCGUCCCCGAAAUCUAGUGGCGGUCUCGCUGUAGCCUCCUCUGCGUAGUAGCUAACACCUCGCAAUGGGAACGCAGCGCGGCCACGCCGUUAAACCCCCCACUUCUGAAGGUUGACCUCGGAUCAGGUAGGAAUACCCGCUGAACUUAAGCAUAUCAAAAGCGGAGGA
rnacentral:misc_RNA from 1 species